rnacentral:rRNA from 1 species
GAUGAACGCUGGCGGCGUGCCUAAUACAUGCAAGUCGAGCGAACGGACGAGAAGCUUGCUUCUCUGAUGUUAGCGGCGGACGGGUGAGUAACACGUGGAUAACCUACCUAUAAGACUGGGAUAAAUUCGGGAAACCGUAGCUAAUACCGGAUAAUAUUUUGAACCGCAUGGUUCAAAAGUGAAAGACGGUCUUGCUGUCACUUAUAGAUGGAUCCGCGCUGCAUUAGCUAGUUGGUAAGGUAACGGCUUACCAAGGCAACGAUGCAUAGCCGACCUGAGAGGGGGACCGGCCACACUGGAACUGAGCCACGGUCCAGACUCCUACGGGAGGCAGCAGUAGGGAAUCUUCCGCAAUGGGCGAAAGCCUGACGGAGCAACGCCGCGUGAGUGAUGAAGGUCUUCGGAUCGUAAAACUCUGUUAUUAGGGAAGAACAUAUGUGUAAGUAACUGUGCACAUCUUGACGGUACCUAAUCAGAAAGCCACGGCUAACUACGUG